GACGAACGCUGGCGGCGUGCUUAACACAUGCAAGUCGAACGGAAAGGCCUGCUUUCCCUUGUGGAUUGCGGGUACUCGAGUGGCGAACGGGUGAGUAACACGUGAGUGAUCUGCCCCCAACUUGGGUAUAAGCCUGGGAAACUGGGUCUAAUUCCCGAUAGGACUGCAGGGUGGUGCCUGUGGUGGAAAACGAUUUUCUAGUGGUUGGGGAUGAGCUCGCGGCCUAUCAGCUUGUUGGUGGGGUAAUGGCCUACCAAGGCGGCGACGGGUAGCCGGCCUGAGAGGGUGGACGGGCACAUUGGGACUGAGAUACGGCCCAGACUCCUACGGGAGGCAGCAGUGGGGAAUAAUGCACAAUGGGCGGAAGCCUGAUGCAGCGACGCCGCGUGGGGGAUGACGGCCUUCGGGUUGUAAACUCCUUUCGACCGCGAGGAAGCCACCUGGUUGGAAGGGUGGUGACGGUAGUGGUAGAAGAAGCACCGGCUAACUACGUG
rnacentral:rRNA from 1 species